rnacentral:rRNA from 1 species
AGGACGAACGCUGGCGGCGUGCUUAACACAUGCAAGUCGAGCGGUAAGGCUCCUUCGGGAGUACACGAGCGGCGAACGGGUGAGUAACACGUGAGCAAUCUGCCCUUCACACUGGGAUACCCCCCGGAAACGGGAGCUAAUACCGGAUACGACCACUUCAGGCAUCUGAUGGUGGUGGAAAGUUCUGGCGGUGAAGGAUGAGCUCGCGGCCUAUCAGCUUGUUGGUGAGGUAAUGGCUCACCAAGGCUUCGACGGGUAGCCGGCCUGAGAGGGUGACCGGCCACACUGGGACUGAGACACGGCCCAGACUCCUACGGGAGGCAGCAGUGGGGAAUAUUGGACAAUGGGCGAAAGCCUGAUCCAGCAACGCCGCGUGAGGGAUGACGGCCUUCGGGUUGUAAACCUCUUUCAGCGGGGACGAAGCGAAAGUGACGGUACCGCAGAGAAGCACCGGCCAACUACGUGCCAGCAGCCGC